GGGUUGUGAGGUUAAGCGACUAAGCGUACACGGUGGAUGCCCUGGCAGUCAGAGGCGAUGAAGGGCGUGCUAAUCUGCGAUAAGCGCCGGUAAGGUGAUAUGAACCGUUAUAACCGGCGAUACCCGAAUGGGGAAACCCAGUGUGAUUCGUCACACUAUCAUUAACUGAAUCCAUAGGUUAAUGAGGCGAACCGGGGGAACUGAAACAUCUAAGUACCCCGAGGAAAAGAAAUCAACCGAGAUUCCCCCAGUAGCGGCGAGCGAACGGGGAGGAGCCCAGAGCCUGAAUCAGCAUGUGUGUUAGUGGAAGCGUCUGGAAAGGCGCGCGAUACAGGGUGACAGCCCCGUACACAAAAGCGCAUAUGCUGUGAGCUCGAUGAGUAGGGCGGGACACGUGGUAUCCUGUCUGAAUAUGGGGGGACCAUCCUCCAAGGCUAAAUACUCCUGACUGACCGAUAGUGAACCAGUACCGUGAGGGAAAGGCGAAAAGAACCCCGGCGAGGGGAGUGAAAAAGAACCUGAAACCGUGUACGUACAAGCAGUGGGAGCCCCACCACUAAGCCAGUGGUGAACUCCACAUACGCAUCCUUUGCUGAGGAUACGGUUAACGGAGCGAAAGCGACGUUCAACCUCAAAAGAAGCAGAGGGGGCUUAGUGGUGGGGUGACUGCGUACCUUUUGUAUAAUGGGUCAGCGACUUAUAUUCUGUAGCAAGGUUAACCGAAUAGGGGAGCCGGAGGGAAACCGAGUCUUAAUUGGGCGUUAAGUUGCAGGGUAUAGACCCGAAACCCGGUGAUCUAGCCAUGGGCAGGUUGAAGGUUGGGUAACACUAACUGGAGGACCGAACCGACUAAUGUUGAAAAAUUAGCGGAUGACCUGUGGCUGGGGGUGAAAGGCCAAUCAAACCGGGAGAUAGCUGGUUCUCCCCGAAAGCUAUUUAGGUAGCGCCUCGUGAAUUCAUCUCCGGGGGUAGAGCACUGUUUCGGCUAGGGGGCCAUCCCGGCUUACCAACCCGAUGCAAACUGCGAAUACCGGAGAAUGUUAUCACGGGAGACACACGGCGGGUGCUAACGUCCGUCGUGAAGAGGGAAACAACCCAGACCGCCAGCUAAGGUCCCAAAGUCAUGGUUAAGUGGGAAACGAUGUGGGAAGGCCCAGACAGCCAGGAUGUUGGCUUAGAAGCAGCCAUCAUUUAAAGAAAGCGUAAUAGCUCACUGGUCGAGUCGGCCUGCGCGGAAGAUGUAACGGGGCUAAACCAUGCACCGAAGCUGCGGCAGCGA
rnacentral:rRNA from 3 species